AUUGAACGCUGGCGGCAGGCCUAACACCUGCAAGUCGAGCGGAGCGGCGGACGGGUGAGUAAUGCCUAGGUAUCUGCCGGGUAGUGGGGGAUAACGUCAGGAAACGUGCGCUAAUACCGCAUACUAUCAGAUGAGCCUAGGUCGGAUUCGCUAGUUGGUGGGGUAAAGGCCUACCAAGGGGACGAUCCGUAACUGGUCUGAGUGGAUGAUCAGUCCCACGGGAAAUGAGACACGGUUCAGAAGGCUUCGAGAGGCAGCCGGGGAGAAUAUUGGACAAGGGGCGAAAGCCUGAUCCAGCCAUGGCGCGUGUGGGAAGAAGGUCUGCGGUGAUUAAAGCACUUUAAGUUGGGAGACGUUACCAACAGAAUCAGCAGCGGCUGAGUUCGUGCUAGCAGCCGCGGUAAUUC
rnacentral:rRNA from 1 species